AAGAGUGUAAUAACUCCCAAACCCAUGUGAACAUACCUCAUGUUGCCUCGGCAGGUCGCGCCCCCUCGUAGGCCCUACCCUGUAAGGCUUACCCGGAAGGCGCGGGUACUCCUGCCGGCGGCCCACGAAACUCUGUCUCAUCGUUGAAUUCUGAACCUAUAACUAAAUAAGUUAAAACUUUCAACAACGGAUCUCUUGGUUCUGGCAUCGAUGAAGAACGCAGCGAAAUGCGAUAAGUAAUGUGAAUUGCAGAAUUCAGUGAAUCAUCGAAUCUUUGAACGCACAUUGCGCCCAUUAGUAUUCUAGUGGGCAUGCCUGUUCGAGCGUCAUUUCAACCCUUAAGCCCUUGUUGCUUAGCGUUGGGAGCCUACGGCACCGUAGCUCCCCAAAGUCAGUGGCGGAGUCGGCUCACACUCUAGACGUAGUAAUUUCUCACCUCGCCUAUAGUUGGACCGGUCCCUUGCCGUAAAACGCCCUAAUUUUUAAAAGG
rnacentral:rRNA from 1 species